UGGGGAAUAUUGCGCAAUGGGCGAAAGCCUGACGCAGCGACGCCGCGUGAGGGAUGAAGGUUUUCGGAUCGUAAACCUCUGUCAGAAUGGAAGAAACCGCACUGUGCUAAUCAGCAGUGCCUUGACGGUACCUUCAAAGGAAGCACCGGCUAACUCCGUGCCAGCAGCCGCGGUAAUACGGAGGGUGCAAGCGUUAAUCGGAAUUACUGGGCGUAAAGCGCACGUAGGCUGCUUUGUAAGUCAGGGGUGAAGUCCCACGGCUCAACCGUGGAACUGCCUUUGAUACUGCUUAGCUGGAAGCCGGGAGAGGGUGGCGGAAUUCCAGGUGUAGGGGUGAAAUCCGUAGAUAUCUGGAGGAACAUCAGUGGCGAAGGCGGCCACCUGGACCGGUAUUGACGCUGAGGUGCGAAAGCGUGGGGAGCAAGCAGG
rnacentral:rRNA from 1 species